ensembl:lncRNA
AGAGUAAUGGAAGGACAGCAAGAAAAAAAGAAACUGGUAGACAUUACAUGGACAAGGAAAACAGACACAUAGCAGAAUAGUAGUCUUGUUGGAAGAGUAGCACUGAGUGAGUUGCUGUGUUCAGGAAGAACAGAAAUAUAAGGUAACUGAUUGUGUGUGUGUGAACAAAAAAAAAAAGAUCAUUAAAAAAAAGCCAAACAAAAAACAACAAAAAACCUUAAAAAUCCUCCAAAAAAUAAAAAAAGGACUUCCUGAAUAAAAGAAUGUAUAGGUUUUAACAACUAGUGACGUGGUCAUAGAAGAGCUAGUCAUGGGGAGUAACUUCAGACCAAGUGAGCAGAAUUGACUGAAGUAAAAUGAAGGGAAGAUUAGAAAUAUGUUCAUAAUUAAAAGUUGCCUUUGAAAGAUAGCAAACUUGAAUUAUGUGUGUUGGCAUAUUGGCUGCACUGGAGAGUUCAGGGAUCUGGUUAGUGCAGAAAUUUGGAGUUUCUGUGAGUUCUCCAGCAGGCUGGAUUCUCAGUCCCAAAGAAGGAAAAAAAAUUAUCAGGACAGGGUGAAAGUUGGACUCGCCAAAAUGCAGACUCAAUGACAAUUUGCAAGUAAUGUUUAAACACACAGAAAAAGGACACACAUUCAGCCACAUAAAUUUCAAACAGCAGGAGGGCUACUAUGCAGUGUAGUAGCUUGUGGAGGGAUAGUGCUUUUGGAGGGAUCAAGCAUAAUUUUGAUGUGGAAUCAGUGUAAAAAAUACCUGAACUCCCCCAUCUCAUUCCCCUCCCCGCCCCCCACCUCCCACAAACAGACUAACCCAAGCAAUGGCAAACACCCAAAAUGACCAUCAGGAAGGAAGGAUGAAUCUGAUUGUAGAAGAAGCAAAGCUUCGGUAACUCGGUGUUCCUCUAUUAUAUAGGUAUUGGUAGUCUUUAUAACUGCUCACUUGAAAACCGAAGGUAUGACAGCAAGCAUUUUUCAGAAAUCUUUCAACAUCUGUUGUUCAGCUUUGGACUGAAUGAUUUAUGCUUGAUUGUGUCAGCUACCUGGAACUGGAAUAGUUCUGUGUUGUCACACUUCUUGGUGGUGUGGUUUCUUGAGGAUCACUGUAUCAAUUUAGGAAGGUUCUAAAAAUAUAAAACUGAAAAAUGUUAAAAAGGGGGAUGUAAAAAGAGCUUUAUAUGUAGUGCCACGUUAGGAAAUCAUUUGAGAUUCAUUUAGGGGUUUUCUGAUUGAACAGAGAAGGGAGGAUGAAUUCAUCAGUUGUACCUUUUGUGCCCUGAUAUAAGGCAGCGGUAUUUUUUAGAGACUCAAGGGAAGAAUGCUGUCAGACUGGUUUCAGUGAAGUACUGAGUGAGAGAUUUAAGCUGCUGAGAAAAAAUUGGGUUAAAAGGGAGCAGAUGGAUGUGGUACUCUGAAGAAGGGAAGGAAAUGACACAAGUGAUCUUGAAUCUUCUGUUCUGUAAACGUUGAAAUCCCAUUGCUGGCAUCAGUGGAAGGGAGAGAAGGAAGUUUUGGAGGGAGUGUGCUCAGUUAGGAAAGCAUGAUAAUUUAUGUUGGUGACAAGCUAUGAAACUUGAAAAUUUGGGGACAAAAUAAGGCAUGUAUAGGGGGCGAAGGAGAUGACUUAGAAGAAGAAGAGACUUUUGAUGACGUGUUCUCAUGAACUCUUGAUCUGAUACUAGACUGCUAGCCAGAGUGGCUGUAGAUCCUGCUUGUACCUUACCACACAUUCCUGCCAUCACCUUCGUGUUGGAUUACUGUGGGCUGCUUUGGCAGUCAGAAAAUUGCAUCUGUACCAUCUGUGCAGACUGAGUUGCACUGAGAUCAUGAGCUACAGGGAUCAUCCAAACAUGUUGAACUAAGAAGCAUGUGUCACAGCUUUCAGAAGCACCCACUGAUACUGUGGGCCAUACAGAACAAAGAACAAUGUCAGGAAAAAUAAUGACUUAAUGAUUUGAAAUAAUGACAUAAUGAUUUGAAAGCUCAGUGAGGAUGAGACAUCAGAGCAAGGAUGAUGAUAAGCAGUGUCAAAAGAACCAGACAGGCCAUGCUGGAGGAAGGUAGAGGAAGGUCCUUGGUAUUUGCUUGAGAAGAGAGAAUGAAUGACUGUAGUGAGCAGUUUCAUUCAAUGUGAAAUGGCAGAAGCUUGGCUGGAUGUGAUACAGGGUGAAGGCGGAAGAGAGAAAGUGAGUGCACUAGCUUUAUCCUGAGUUUAUAGAUAAGGGAAAAAAAGAGGAGAAUAGAGUAAUUGUUCAAAUAUGUAGGGGUAUGGUCUUGUGGACAGUGGAAAGGAAGUUGGAGUGAGAAGACAGGGGUAAGAGACUGAAUUUAGUUGAAACAGAAAUGUGCAGCUGAAGGUGAAUGGAAGAGAUUAAAGAAUUACAGACGAAUAAAGGUAAACGGUCCAUAGGCUCUGCAGGGGGACGUAUUAGCACGCGGUUCUUUUUGUAGGAAUUAGUGAAGAGCAGUGAGAGAAUUCUGUUGCAAAAAUAGAUGGCUUCACACUUAAUGAAAAAGAAGUGAGCCAAAUCAGCUUGUUCUAAAGUUAGUUCAAAGUGAUUUGAAGCAGCAGCAUGCUACUGCUUUCCCUUCUCUCUUUGUAUGUACAGCAGGCAGCAGGGCACUGUGCCGACAUGUGCUGGUGUUAUGGUGUCUGCUGCAGAUGAAGAACAAGCUCUGAGAUGAGAGUGAUGCAUCCAGGCUUCUUGGGCAAUGCACCCUAAUUGUCUGGCUCUGGUCCAGCUGCCGACUGACCCAAUAAACUCUAAUGAAUCUGGAUUCCUGCAGUCUGAUUUGCUUCCUCUCUACACGAUGUGCCUUUCUCAGCCCAUGAGGAGCUGAAACCUGAGUGCUGGCUUCGACAAAGAGAGUGAGAGAGGAGGGAAGGAGGGGAAGAAAAGGCAGAUAACAGACGAAUGCAAUCAGUGUUUUAUUACCAUCCUCAGGAAGUGGGAAUGACUUUAAAAAAAAAAAAAGAAAAAGAAAAAAAAAGUAGUAGGAUGGAGCAAGGAAAGUUAAUUAUGGUGAGGUUAUUUGACAGGAAAUUACAAAAUACAAACAGACAGAAGAAACACAUUUUAAAACAGGGUAGGAAAUCUCAAGUUACUUCACUGUGUAUAUUCAAAACCCCCCAAAGCAAAGGCUGAAAAUAACAGUUUAAACAAAAGCUAUCUUAUCUGAUACAGGCAUUUCAAGCACAAAAGGAAAUUUAUAUGUGGGGUUGACAGUCUUAAAAUAAACUGAUUGUCUUGAUAACUCCAUGGAUUUAAUUGUGGGAAAAAUUGGGUUCAUUUGUAUGACCUGCAGAUGCAGUAAAUUCCCGUGUAAAUUCAUUGCUUUUCUUUCUUUGUGCAUUUCUUGUCUUCUAAGUAAUGUUUAUCAGUGUUUUCCAGAAAUUGUAUAGGUAGAUUUAUGCAUGUAGGGCAAGACUGAUAAAUAUGUGCAUAUUUUAAAGACUUCCAUGCAGACCAGAUACAAUUCAUUUCCUAUGCUACUGUAUGGAAGCAUAUUAAUGGUACUUCAGCAAGUUAACCAGAUUCAGAAGGAUUUGGGCAGUAAUAUGCCACUUUAGGAUGAGGGUAGAAUUUCCAAUACUGGUGAUCGGAAUUAUUUUAUUCAUAUCAUUGAUAGUAUGCUUACAAUACACUCUUGAAUAUUUGCUUUAUCUUUCACUUUCUGUGAGGAAAGGAAACUAUUCUGCUACCAUGGCACCCAUAUCUUGAGUCAAUAAGCCAUUUAUGAGUGCAAGGAGAGCAGAAAUUUCAUGCUAACACAGUUGUUUUGUAGCCUUGUGAUAGGCACUGAAGUUUCAAAGAGCAUGAAAUGUGGACUGUCACUGUGUCUUUUGUAGUGAGCAAUAAU